GUGGUUAUGUCAGACUUGUAGUACACUGGUGGUAAUGAGUGAGUGAUGUCCUAACUAAGGCUAACUAUGUAUUUUACCUAUGGAAUCAUCAGAAAACAUGUUGGUGGUUAUGUCAGACUUGUAGUACACUGGUGGUAACGAGUGAGUGAUGUCCUAACUAAGGCUAACUAUGUAUUUUUUACCUAUGGAAUCAUCAGAAAACAUGUUGGUGGUUAUGUCAGACUUGUAGUACACUGGUGGUAACGAGUGAGUGAUGUCCUAACUAAGGCUAACUAUGUAUUUUACCUAUGGAAUCAUCAGAAAACAUGUUGGUGGUUAUGUCAGACUUGUAGUACACUG
rnacentral:lncRNA from 1 species